rnacentral:rRNA from 1 species
GACGAACGCUGGCGGCGUGCUUAACACGUGCAAGUCGAACGGUAAGGCCCUUCGGGGUACACGAGUGGCGAACGAGUGAGUAACACGUGGGUGAUCUGCCCUGCACUUCGGGAUAAGCCUGGGAAACUGGGUCUAAUACCGGAUAGGACCCUGGGAUGCAUGUCCUGGGGUGGAAAGCUUUUGCGGUGUGGGAUGGGCCCGCGGCCUAUCAGCUUGUUGGUGGGGUGAUGGCCUACCAAGGCGACGACGGGUAGCCGGCCUGAGAGGGUGACCGGCCACACUGGGACUGAGAUACGGCCCAGACUCCUACGGGAGGCAGCAGUGGGGAAUAUUGCACAAUGGGCGCAAGCCUGAUGCAGCGACGCCGCGUGAGGGAUGACGGCCUUCGGGUUGUAAACCUCUUUCAGCACCGACGAAGCGCAAGUGACGGUAGGUGCAGAAGAAGGACCGGCCAACUACGUGCCAGCAGCCGCCGUAA